GCCUACGGGGGGCAGCAGUAGGGAAUCUUCCACAAUGGGCGAAAGCCUGAUGGAGCAACGCCGCGUGGGUGAAGAAGGUCUUCGGAUCGUAAAACCCUGUUGUUAGAGAAGAAAGUGCGUGAGAGUAACUGUUCACGUUUCGACGGUAUCUAACCAGAAAGCCACGGCUAACUACGUGCCAGCAGCCGCGGUAAUACGUAGGUGGCAAGCGUUAUCCGGAUUUAUUGGGCGUAAAGGGAACGCAGGCGGUCUUUUAAGUCUGAUGUGAAAGCCUCCGGCUUAACCGGAGUAGUGCAUGGGAAACU
rnacentral:rRNA from 1 species